GACGUAGGGCGCGAGCGUUGUCCGGAUUUAUUGGGCGUAAAGAGCUCGUAGGCGGUGUGUCGCGUCGGCCGUGAAAACCUGCAGCUUAACUGUGGGCUUGCGGUCGAUACGGGCAGGCUCGAGUUCGGUAGGGGAGACUGGAAUUCCUGGUGUAGCGGUGAAAUGCGCAGAUAUCAGGAGGAACACCGGUGGCGAAGGCGGGUCUCUGGGCAGUAACUGACGCUGAGGAGCGAAAGCGUGGGGAGCGAACAGG
rnacentral:rRNA from 1 species